rnacentral:rRNA from 1 species
GACGAACGCUGGCGGCAUGCUUAACACAUGCAAGUCGAACGGGCUGAUUCCUUCGGGAUGAAAGCUAGUGGCGAACGGGUGAGUAAUGUAUGAGUAACCUGCCUCUGUCUACGGGAUAACAUUUGGAAACAAGUGCUAAUACGGUAUAAGACCACAGCACCGCAUGGUGCAGGGGUAAAAGAUUUAUCGGAUAGAGAUGGACUCAUAUCCCAUUAGCUAGUUGGUGAGAUAAUAGCCCACCAAGGCGACGAUGGGUAGCCGAGCUGAGAGGCUGAUCGGCCACAUUGGAACUGAAACACGGUCCAGACUCCUACGGGAGGCAGCAGUGGGGAAUAUUGGGCAAUGGGGGAAACCCUGAUGCAGCAACGCCGCGUGAGGUAUGAAGGCCUUUGGGUUGUAAGCCUCUGUCCUAGGGGAAGAAAAAAUGACGGUACCCGAGAAGGAAGCCCCGGCUAACUACGUGCCAGCAGCCGCGGUAA